rnacentral:lncRNA from 1 species
UCUUUUUUUUCUUGAAAAUUUUAAAUGGCUCUCCAGACACCUCUUUCAAUAACUCUUACCCUCCAAAGCUGGGCUGCAUUUUAAUUUCACUUUAAAAUAGCUACAUUGGGACCAUAAUAUGAUCAGAACUAAUGAAUAUUGUGGAGAGAAGCAAAAAAUUUUAUUUAAAAUCUUUAAGAAGUAUAAAUACUUCAUGUGAGUAAGAACCUGUGGUUUAUCCCAGCCCAGUCAAGGACUCAAUUUUGAUUCUGAGGAUAAAUCACUGAGCUCAUCAGACCUCACUUUCUUCUGCUCAAAAAGUUCAUGACUCCAGAGGUUUCUUCACAGAAUGGUAGAAAGCAAUCGUAUUAAAAUGAGUUGCCAUCUCUAAAUAAUAAUUAUAAUAAUAAUGAGAAUCUUUUAGGUGUUAAGGCAGCCAAAGCUACUCACAUAUUGGAUCUAAUAAAAUCGUGCUUCUUUCUAGACACCAAAAACGUUAGCAGAAUGGCAUCAAAGAGAAAUUAUUUAAAAAUUACCAACAUAUAAUGAACAUUUUAAAUUGACCUAGAAAGUUUUUUUUUCUUUCAGAAAAAUUCUUUAUUCUUGACUAGUUUCUUCUUCUGAAACUGGUAUCUCAAGCUUAAUCUAGACCAUCUGGAACUUGCGUGGUAGUCUCUAAAUCUAAGAUGGCUUUAUCAGAAAGAGUUGUCAAGAAGCCGUACUUCUUAAGGAAGUUGCCUUUGGAAAUAACUGUUGUUCUUGAAACAUCGUUGAUCUCCCUAAGACCUUUGCAAGCCUUAGCAAGCCCUGCUGCACUGGAGAUCUUUCUUUUCAGGCUUGGGCACUAUUCCCAGCUCCUCUGUUAUGAGGCAAGAGACAACUUCUCUAUGCUUCCUCUCAUCACCCACAUCCUAAACAUUUUGAGGCGAUUUCUUCAUGAAACACGUUAAGAUCAUUUGGUCAGGUAUUUUGAAUAGAGAUAGCAAGAACUGUCUUCUGAAAAACAGCAGGAUUAAUACCUUCUACAGAGUUUUGAGAGGCAUCACAAAGAAGCCUGAACAUAACUAUUAAUCUAGAUGUCAGGGACCUGAAAACAAAUUGUGAUUCUGCAACCUUGGGCAAUCAUCCCCACAACCUGGCUUCAUUGCCCUCUAUCGUGGAAUGAUGAGGUAUUGGCUUUAGCUUAUUGGCUGUUCACCAUGACGACCCAUGAGCUGCCUCAGAUGUUCAAAGAGAAGGAUAGCUGAGAUUUCCCUGGUGAUUUAGACAAGGCAGGGGUGCUCAGAUCUGCAACAGUUCAGCGACUGAGUCUGGAGAUUCCAGUGUAACCGCUGGAAGCCUCCAGCUUUGUAGGAACACUGACCUAAAGAGAGAACUACAAACUGGCUUGUCAGCAGAAACAAACUAAUCUAUGUUCACUUUUCUUCUUCUAGCUUCGGUAUUCUGAUUUUCCGCUUAGUCUUGAGAUUGUUUAAUUCUGCCACAGAAUUUUAAAAGCUAGGCAUUUCUGUGGCAGUUCUUAUAUUUGGUGAGAAAUGUUGAAUACACAAAAUGCUUCUGGCUUUAAAAACAUUAGAUGUUUUGAAGUGGCAGGUUAUAUAGAUAGACUCUUAAAUUUGGGGCAAAGAUGAUCUACAAGUUCAUUCAUUGACUUGAAUGAAGUUCUAUUCAUUUUCUUUGGUUGGAGAUUUAUCUGCAUUCUUGUUCCACAUCUGUUUGGCUGCUGAUGCUUUUGGAUGGGAUCUGCUCACCUUUUUUCUUCUGACUCAGCUUAGGCAAACUUGCAGCCUGUUUCCUGGGGGGAAAAAGCAGCUAUCUUUCAUCUCAGUCCAAGAAGACUAUAGGAACUUAGGCCUGUCCUAAAGAAUAAAAAUGCUAUCUUUAAAUUAUGCCCCAGCCAAGAUCAAUUUUCCAGUUGAAAUGAGCUUCAACAAUCUAAGUAGCAGGAUUAUGAUCUACAUUGUAUCUUUCCCUCUUUGUGAGAAUUUAACAGUUUUGUGUGGGUCUACUCCUCCUCUUGCUUUCAUCCUUUGUGAACAUUUUAAAACUAACACUUAAUAGAAUGUGGCCUCUUCAUUUCACACAAUGUUAACACAAGGGGCUACAGUGUGAAGUAAUGAGACUUUUGGG